rnacentral:rRNA from 1 species
CUUAGAAACUAUAGCUACGAGGGUACACCUAGUAACAUACCGAACCUAGAAGUUAAGCUCGUAAACGCUGAAAGUACUUGGGGGGCAGCCCUCUGGGAGGAUAGGAAGUUUCUAAGC